AAGCAGGAACUUGUGCGCUGCCGGCGCUGCUAACAUAAAUAGAGAUGAGCAGGACAUGGCCCAUCCUCAAAACACACACCAUCGCGACACACAAUAUUACAACGGCGCACACAUUGUCGCGUAUUUAUUAUCAACAUUUCGUAAUCGGAGCAUAACGGUGGCGGCUCAUUAAUCUCCCUGUAUCCAUAGUCAUAGUAAUAAUGUGCCUGGACUACGACAAUUGCUGAUAACGGCGCACCGAGAGAGAGUGAAAGUGAAAUGCUGUAAUAAUUGUGUACAAUAUUCAUUUGUCCAGCCAACGACCGUUCCAGCUAUCGGCAUAGUCUCGGUCACGAUCAGCCAGGCAAACAAUUGCCUUGUGUACACACACACACAUGUAUUUAAGAUGAUGCAAUUGACUCGGCCCCAAAUGGACGCGUUAACUGAUAACCAUCGAUCCGAGGGCCCCCAAAAAGAUCAUUUGAAUUACCAAACUAAAUCGAGCAUCUGACGCCGCCGCAGCAUUACUCAUCAUCAAGAGAGAGAGAGUUUGGAAGGGAGAACAACUAGGAACACAGCUGUAUAGAUGAACAGGAGCGCAUCUUUGGGCAGCUAGAGAAGCUAAUUAAUGUAGCUUUUUGAAAUAUUGGAGGAAAUGAUCCGCCACUGGUGGGUGUCUUUGUGUGCGCCUUCAUCUCCCACAGAUGCAACUCCAGCAUGUGUGUGCUCACCCAAUUGAAACCAUAAUAAGAGAGCGCCAUAGGAGAAACACAAAACAUAGACGCAAUUCUGGAAUGUCUGGAUUUCCAUUCCAUGUUGUUGUUCUCCCCCUGCGGCAGCGGUGGCGGCGGCGGCGGUGGCGGCGGAUGGGGUGCACAUAGUCUGGCUUUUUAGAGACUGCAGCUGGUUUCAUUUCAAAGCGCGCCCAUUCAUUCGGUCUUCCAGUCUCGUCGAGCUAUGACGGCAUCAAUAUCAUUAACCGAUGAGGACGCCUGCGCGAACGGAAGUUCAAAAACAAAGUGUAGAACAAAGUUGCAAAAUUGAAAACAACAAAAACAGAAA